UACGGAGGAUUCGAGCGUUAUCCGGAUUUAUUGGGCUUAAAGGGUGCGUAGGCGGACUUGUAAGUCAGCUGUGAAAGCUCACGGCUCAACCGUGGAAUUGCAGUUGAUACUGUUAGUCUUGAGUACUUAUGAGGUGGGCGGAAUUUGUGGUGUAGCGGUGAAAUGCUUAGAUAUCACAAAGAACUCCAAUUGCGAAGGCAGCUCACUGGGGUAUAACUGACGCUGAUGCACGAAAGUGUGGGGAUCAAACAGG
rnacentral:rRNA from 1 species